CGUGGGACACCCUGCAUUAAAAAGAAUAUUAUUAUUAGAAUCUGGAAUACAGUAACAUCUCUCAUUUUCUCCAUUAAGGAAUACAUAGACGCAGCGCUGCGGACUGAACAAGCUAGAAUAUUAAAAACUGAAAUAAAAAU